UACGGAGGGGGCUAGCGUUGUUCGGAAUUACUGGGCGUAAAGCGCGCGUAGGCGGCUUUGUAAGUUAGAGGUGAAAGCCCGGAGCUCAACUCCGGAAUUGCCUUUAAGACUGCAUCGCUAGAAUCAUGGAGAGGUUAGUGGAAUUCCGAGUGUAGAGGUGAAAUUCGUAGAUAUUCGGAAGAACACCAGUGGCGAAGGCGACUAACUGGACAUGUAUUGACGCUGAGGUGCGAAAGCGUGGGGAG
rnacentral:rRNA from 1 species